GGAAUCUACCUAGUAGUGGGGGAUAGCUCGGGGAAACUCGAAUUAAUACCGCAUACGACCUACGGGAGAAAGGGGGCAACUUGUUGCUCUCGCUAUUAGAUGAGCCUAAGUCGGAUUAGCUAGAUGGUGGGGUAAAGGCCUACCAUGGCGACGAUCUGUAGCUGGUCUGAGAGGAUGAUCAGCCACACCGGGACUGAGACACGGCCCGGACUCCUACGGGAGGCAGCAGUGGGGAAUAUUGGACAAUGGGGGCAACCCUGAUCCAGCCAUGCCGCGUGUGUGAAGAAGGCCUUUUGGUUGUAAAGCACUUUAAGCAGUGAAGAAGACUCCAUGGUUAAUACCCAUGGACGAUGACAUUAGCUGCAGAAUAAGCACCGGCUAACUCUGUGCCAGCAGCCGCGGUAAUACAGAGGGUGCAAGCGUUAAUCGGAAUUACUGGGCGUAAAGCGAGCGUAGGUGGCUUGAUAAGUCAGAUGUGAAAGCCCCGGGCUUAACCUGGGAACGGCAUCUGAUACUGUUAGGCUAGAGUAGGUGAGAGGAAGGUAGAAUUCCAGGUGUAGCGGUGAAAUGCGUAGAGAUCUGGAGGAAUACCGAUGGCGAAGGCAGCCUUCUGGCAUCAUACUGACACUGAGGUUCGAAAGCGUGGGUAGCAAACAGGAUUAGAUACCCUGGUAGUCCACGCCGUAAACGAUGUCUACUAGUCGUUGGGUCCCUUGAGGACUUAGUGACGCAGCUAACGCAAUAAGUAGACCGCCUGGGGAGUACGGCCGCAAGGUUAAAACUCAAAUGAAUUGACGGGGGCCCGCACAAGCGGUGGAGCAUGUGGUUUAAUUCGAUGCAACGCGAAGAACCUUACCUGGUCUUGACA
rnacentral:rRNA from 1 species